ensembl:lncRNA
AUGAGUUUAAUUUCAGAUUUUGAGUCCACCUCUGUGGAAAACCAGGAAACUGAAAGGAAAAAGUCUAUAAGCUCGCUUAUAAAAGGGUUAAUUAAUGCAGCAGCUGAAAGAUCUGAUACGACGAACUCUUUGGACAUCCAGCAAACAACGUAUGACUUUUAUUUUCUACUGAUCUGGGAAAAUGUUAAAGAAAUUGAUUUUUACAUCGACCCAGAUCAUUUGCCCACAUUUCAGAAGAGGAUUUUCAGUACUAUCUGUCAGAAACUGUCCUGUACGAGUGAAGAAUGUUUCGCUUUGAUGUUGUCAAAGGACCAACGCUUUCUCAAGGCAAUGGUUUCCUUGAUGAGAAAGCAAAUUGUCAAGCUUCCCAAAACCUUUGUAGGAAAUGUUUGUCAAAGGGAAAACGCUGCAGAGGACCCAAACAUUUUGACAAGUGAAGAUAGUNNNNNNNNNNNNNNAAAUCAGUAUUCGAAUAACUGCCUGACUGAGAAGCGUUGUUAUAAUGUUCCAACAAAAGCUUUGGUUACUUCUCAGCCAGCUAGUAAAGGAUUUAUGAUACCUCCGCAGUUGGAAAACAUUCUCCAUCAGUUAGCGGAGAAGAAAUCUGUCUCUCGUCAGAUGGUUAAAGCCAAAUCAACCAGGAACGAUGAGUUUCAGAAGCAGUCAUCAUAUGUGCAAAAAAAAGUGAGUGAUUCUGUUAUUGAGCCUGUUAAACCAGUAACACAUGACAAUCCUCGUUCUUACACGUCUAAACCGAUUCAAGAGAUGUACAGGCCACGGCAAGAGAACUGUAAAUCCGACCAUGAAGGUUCAUCGUCUGAAUCCAUCGUGGAAGACGAGCCACAACAGCUGAUCUCUUCUCCAAACAGUUCGACCGUUGAUUACUCAGCGGUCAGACAUGCGGAGAACUUUCAGAUGAAAGCCUUACUGAAUCGGCUAGUAAAUCUAAUGAUUGAGCGGGCUUUUAGAGAAUCCGUUACGAUUUAUUCAAACAAAUUUCGGCAGACCUUACAGAAGUCAGUGUUUGAACUAGUCUGGAAUGAACUUAAAGGAGAACUAUUUGAUAUUGAACCAGAAAUGGAGUCCAAAUUUGUCAAGAAAGUUAUCAGGGAUGUCUGUAAGUUAAGUUGCUGUGGCACUGAUUACUUGCUUAAGUUAAUGAAUCACGCAAAAUCACAAACAGUUAAUCACAUCGUUUUCUCCAUCAGAGAACGACACAAGAAGCUUCACAAAACUAAUUUAGUCUCAAAGGUCUUCUCGUAUGUCAAAAGUAUCAAAAUGUCAUCAGUGAGAGGAAAAGAGACAUCGCCUGCUCCAUCAGUGGAUGCAGGCGACAGAAGUGUUUCAGAGAAUGACUGCAGCCAGCAGAUAUCAUACGAAGAAAACGAAGAAAAAGCAGCUAUUGAUAAACUCAUCAUUAAGUUAAUGUCGCUGAUAAAGCACAACGCAGAGAACGUCCUUUCAGCUAACGAUUGUAAUGAAAUAACUGAGCGUUUAUCAUCAAUGGUCUGGGCUGAAGUGAUAGGUCGUGAUAUUGAACCAGAAAAGGUUCCUGGUCUUUAUAAAUCAAUUUACAACGAUCUGUAUGUCAAGUGGAGCAAUGCAAAAAGAAUCCCUCUUUUCCUUGCUUUAAACAAUCGAAAUAUUAACGAGACAGUGGUGUUAAUCAUUAAACGACGCCUGCUGAAGCCAAGUACCUCAAAAUACAUCAAAAGUUUAGCCAGUGUGUUUAGCAGUCAUCGUUGA